rnacentral:rRNA from 1 species
AUUGAACGCUGGCGGCAGGCCUAACACAUGCAAGUCGAACGAGUGGCGGACGGGUGAGUAAUGUCUGGGAAACUGCCUGAUGGAGGGGGAUAACUACUGGAAACGGUAGCUAAUACCGCAUACCAUCGGGUGUGCCCAGAUGGGAUUAGCUAGUAGGUGGGGUAACGGCUCACCUAGGCGACGAUCCCUAGCUGGUCUGAGAGGAUGACCAGUCACACUGGAACUGUGACACGGUCCAGACUCCUACUGGAGGCAGCAGUGGGUAAUAUUGCACAAUGGGCGCAAGCCUGAUGCAGCCGUGCCGCGUGGGGGAAGAAGGCCUUCGGGUUGUAAAGCACUUUCAGCGGGGAGGCGUUACCCGCAGAAGAAGCACCGGAUAACUCCGUGCCAGCAGCCGCGGUAAUAC